rnacentral:rRNA from 1 species
GGGUUGUGAGGUUAAGCGACUAAGCGUACACGGUGGAUGCCCUGGCAGUCAGAGGCGAUGAAGGACGUGCUAAUCUGCGAUAAGCGUCGGUGAGGUGAUAUGAACCGUUAUAACCGGCGAUUUCCGAAUGGGGAAACCCAGUGUGUUUCGACACACUAUCAUUAACUGAAUCCAUAGGUUAAUGAGGCGAACCGGGGGAACUGAAACAUCUAAGUACCCCGAGGAAAAGAAAUCAACCGAGAUUCCCCCAGUAGCGGCGAGCGAACGGGGAGGAGCCCAGAGCCUGAAUCAGUGUGUGUGUUAGUGGAAGCGUCUGGAAAGGCGUGCGAUACAGGGUGACAGCCCCGUACACAAAAAUGCACAUAUUGUGAGCUCGAUGAGUAGGGCGGGACACGUGGUAUCCUGUCUGAAUAUGGGGGGACCAUCCUCCAAGGCUAAAUACUCCUGACUGACCGAUAGUGAACCAGUACCGUGAGGGAAAGGCGAAAAGAACCCCGGCGAGGGGAGUGAAAAAGAACCUGAAACCGUGUACGUACAAGCAGUGGGAGCCUCUUAAUGGGGUGACUGCGUACCUUUUGUAUAAUGGGUCAGCGACUUAUAUUCUGUAGCAAGGUUAACCGAAUAGGGGAGCCGAAGGGAAACCGAGUCUUAACUGGGCGUUAAGUUGCAGGGUAUAGACCCGAAACCCGGUGAUCUAGCCAUGGGCAGGUUGAAGGUUGGGUAACACUAACUGGAGGACCGAACCGACUAAUGUUGAAAAAUUAGCGGAUGACUUGUGGCUGGGGGUGAAAGGCCAAUCAAACCGGGAGAUAGCUGGUUCUCCCCGAAAGCUAUUUAGGUAGCGCCUCGUGAAUUCAUCUCCGGGGGUAGAGCACUGUUUCGGCAAGGGGGUCAUCCCGACUUACCAACCCGAUGCAAACUGCGAAUACCGGAGAAUGUUAUCACGGGAGACACACGGCGGGUGCUAACGUCCGUCGUGAAGAGGGAAACAACCCAGACCGCCAGCUAAGGUCCCAAAGUCAUGGUUAAGUG